rnacentral:sRNA from 2 species
AAUCACAAAAGGCCAAAACCGUUUGGGUGCGGGGGAAAAGAAUCGUUUGUGCGAAUGCCAAUCCACUUUGAACGGCUCGUACUAGGGGUGAAUCGCUUGACUGCGUAGGGUUGUACUCUCAACCCGAAUCCGACAGCUAACCUCGCCGGCCGCUAAAGGAGGAUCU